AUGCGAGCACAGCACGGCGCUGCUUCCACGCAGACAGACAUUUUAUUUCAUUCCGUGCACACACCUCUCCCAGCCGGGCCCCGAAACCACAGCAGGAAGGGCGACACCCCCGAUCGGAGAGUGAGGCAGCCCCCAAAACUCAACGGGGACUUGGCUCAGCGCCCUGGGUUCCUCCCCAAAAUCCUCCCGGCCUGGGCACGGCCCCUCGGCAGCCCCUACACUCGCUCAGGGCCGGAAGGAUUAAGACCAGGGGCGUGUAGGGGACAAAAGCCCCGUUACUGGGCGUUGCUUUGCCACCGCUGCCACUCCCGGAGCGCAGCACGGCCUCCCCACGAGCCCAGCUGGGAUUUGGGGCUGGGAAGGGAGAAUCGCCUCCCGGCAGCUGCUCCCAGCUUCUGCGUGCGAGGGCUACGUCCACACGUGCUUCACCACCGCCCGGCUCAUUGCUCGACACCCACAGCCAGGCACCACCUCGAGGCACUCCAAAGCUGCCCCCAGCCCCCAAACCUUCACCCAAACCUCAGGCACUUCCAGGCUGCUGCCCGUGGAGCCCAGGACCUUGACUCAGUAGGGUUGGAGAAGGCCUCCAAGACCACCUGGUCCAAAUGUCUCCCUGCCACCACCACCAUCACCACCAACAGAAUCAUCGAGCCACUGAGGUUGGAAGAAGAUCUCCAAGACCACCUGGUCCAACCACCUGGUCUACCACCACCGUCACCCGCUGACAGACUCACUGAGGUUGGAGAAGGCCUCCAAGACCACCUGGGGCAACUGCCCCUGUACGACACCACCACCACUAACAGACUGAUGGAGGUAGGAGAGCACCUCCAGGACCACCUGGCCAUCCAUCCCCACACCACCAAUACCACCGCUAUCAGAACCACGGAACCAUUGAGCUUGGAGAAGACCUGCACAACCACCACCCUCACCACAGGCUCAUGGAGGUUGAAGAACACCUCCGGGACCACCCGGCCCAUCCAUCCCCGUACCACCACCACCACCACCACGAACAACCGCAGACCUAUUGAGGUAGGAGAACACCUCCAGGACCACCUGGCCACCCAUCCCCGUACCACCACCACCACCAGCAGAAUCACGGAACCACUGAUUUGGGAGCACA
rnacentral:lncRNA from 1 species